rnacentral:rRNA from 1 species
UACAGAGGUCUCGAGCGUUGUUCGGAUUCAUUGGGCGUAAAGGGUGCGUAGGUGGCACUGUAAGUCGGGUGUGAAAUCCUGAGGCUUAACCUCGGAACUGCAUUCGAUACUGCGGUGCUUGAGGACUGGAGAGGAGACUGGAAUUCAUGGUGUAGCAGUGAAAUGCGUAGAGAUCAUGAGGAAGACCAGUGGCGAAGGCGGGUCUCUGGACAGUUCCUGACACUGAGGCACGAAGGCCAGGGGAGCAAACGGG